CGUAUCUAAUAGCAAACUAUGCGAAAGCAUGGGACGCAAAGCCACGGGUCUAAAGCAUAGCAAUGACAGCCGGGCUGCCUCA
rnacentral:ncRNA from 1 species